CCCUUAGAUGUCCUGGGCCGCACGCGCGCUACACUGAGUGUCUGAGAUACGAGUCUGCCUGGUCCGGCAAGGUCUAGGUAAUCGCUAAAAGACACAUCAUGCUUGGGAUAGAUUAUUGCAAAUAUUAAUCUUGAACGAGGAAUUCCUAGUAAGCGCAAGUCAACAGCUUGCGUUGAUUACGUCCCUGCCCUUUGUACCCACCGCCCGUCGCUACUACUGAUUGGAUGUUUAAGCGAGGUUCUCGAACUGCUAGCGACUUAGCUUCGGUGAGGUCGCAGUGUGGGAAGUGAACCUAGCUUUGGUGUCUAGAGGAAGUAAAAGUCGUAACA
rnacentral:rRNA from 1 species